UACGAAGGUCCCAAGCGUUAUCCGGAUUUAUUGGGCUUAAAGGGUGCGUAGGCGGGUUAUUAAGUCAGUGGUGAAAGCCUUCAGCUCAACUGAAGAAUUGCCAUUGAUACUGAUGAUCUUGAGUAUGAUUGAGGUGGGCGGAAUGUGUCAUGUAGCGGUGAAAUGCUUAGAUAUGACACAGAACACCGAUUGCGAAGGCAGCUCACUAAGUCAUAACUGACGCUGAUGCACGAAAGCGUGGGGAGCAAACAGG
rnacentral:rRNA from 1 species